AAGCUGCGGUCACUGCGGUGGGUCAGGGCUUGAUGACAUUUGUUGCCCAGCUGCUGGUGCUACCGCGACGUACUUGGAGCAACGCUUCUGCUUAUUUCCUCUGCCUGCACCUUAUAUUUGUUGUGUUUAUUGAGACCUGGCCUGUCUCUGCCUCGUUGAAGACAAAUGGACACAAGUAUUGGUUGCUGUUGGUUUGUUUGGUUUGCUCAGUCUGAGCGUGCUGCAGAGCACUUGACCACUGCAGCAGUCAGGCAUGCUGUAUAUUGGGGAGUGCCAGGAAUUGCGAGAUCGAGACAGGCUGC